GCCUACGGGGCGCAGCAGUAGGGAAUUUUCGUCAAUGGGCGCAAGCCUGAACGAGCAAUGCCGCGUGAACGAGGAAGGUCUUCGGAUCGUAAAGUUCUGUUGAAGGGGAAAAAGAGCGGAGAGAGGAAAUGCUUUCUGACUGAUAUUACCCUUCGAGGAAGUCACGGCUAACUACGUGCCAGCAGCCGCGGUAAUACGUAGGUGGCGAGCGUUAUCCGGAAUGAUUGGGCGUAAAGGGUGCGUAGGCGGCCUGCUAAGUCUGGAGUGAAAGGUACCGGCUCAACCGGUACAGGCUCUGGAAACUG
rnacentral:rRNA from 1 species